rnacentral:rRNA from 1 species
AUUGAACGCUGGCGGCAGGCUUAACACAUGCAAGUCGAGCGGGGUGAUGGUGCUUGCACUAUCACUUAGCGGCGGACGGGUGAGUAAUGCUUAGGAAUCUGCCUAUUUGUGGGGGACAACAUCUCGAAAGGGAUGCUAAUACCGCAUACGUCCUACGGGAGAAAGCAGGGGAUCACCUGUGACCUUGCGCUAAUAGAUGAGCCUAAGUCGGAUUAGCUAGUUGGUGGGGUAAAGGCCUACCAAGGCGACGGUCUGUAGCGGGUCUGAGCGGAUGAUCCGCCACACUGGGACUGGAACACGGCCCAGACUCCUACGGGAGGCAGCAGUGGGGAAUAUUGGACAAUGGGGGGAACCCUGAUCCAGCCAUGCCGCGUGUGUGAAGAAGGCCUUAUGGUUGUAAAGCACUUUAAGCGAGGAGGAGGCUCUUUUGGUUAAUACCCAAGAUGAGUGGACGUUACUCGCAGAAUAAGCACCGGCUAACUCUGUGCCAGCCGCCGCAGAAA